AGGGUCUAUUUAUAGACAAAUGGGGGGGCCCGGUUAGCCGGAAUUUCGUUCCGGAUCCAACCGCGGGGUCGGAUUCGGACGAUUCCGAAUAUGGGAACGGGCUAAGUGGCCGUGUGGUGUAGAUAUCCGGAGACGAGAGUGGAACGGGCGGCGCAGCAACGGAUUUUAAAACACUGACAGACGUCCGACUGUAGAUCGAAUACGGUGCCGCUACGGUCGACUGUUCGGGUACCACACGGUCUCCGAUCGCGACGAAAUUCGAUAGGCGGUCUAGCGAAAACAAAACACGACCGCACGUCAAAUCUCAACCCGAUCAGAGAAAGUUUUAAACGCGCUUUAAAAACAGGGUUUCGACGGUGCCG
rnacentral:lncRNA from 1 species